GAUGAACGCUGGCGGCGUGCCUAGUACAUGCAAGUCGAGCGAACAGAUGAGGAGCUUGCUCCUCUGACGUUAGCGGCGGACGGGUGAGUAACACGUGGAUAACCUACCUAUAAGACUGGGAUAACUUCGGGAAACCGGAGCUAAUACCGGAUAAUAUAUUGAACCGCAUGGUUCAAUAGUGAAAGACGGUUUUGCUGUCACUUAUAGAUGGAUCCGCGCCGCAUUAGCUAGUUGGUAAGGUAACGGCUUACCAAGGCAACGAUGCGUAGCCGACCUGAGAGGGUGAUCGGCCACACUGGAACUGAGACACGGUCCAGACUCCUACGGGAGGCAGCAGUAGGGAAUCUUCCGCAAUGGGCGAAAGCCUGACGGAGCAACGCCGCGUGAGUGAUGAAGGUCUUGGAUCGUAAAACUCUGUUAUUAGGGAAGAACAAAUGUGUAAGUAACUAUGCACGUCUUGACGGUACCUAAUCAGAAAGCCACGGCUAACUACGUG
rnacentral:rRNA from 1 species